rnacentral:rRNA from 1 species
GUAGGUGGCAAGCGUUGUCCGGAAUUAUUGGGCGUAAAGCGCGCGCAGGUGGUUCUUUAAGUCUGAUGUGAAAGCCCCCGGCUCAACCGGGGAGGGUCAUUGGAAACUGGGGAACGUUGAGUGCAGGAGAGGAAAGUGGAAUUCCACGUGUAGCGGUGAAAUGCGUAGAUAUGUGGAGGAACACCAGUGGCGAAGGCGACUUUCUGGCCUGUAACUGACACUGAGGCGCGAAAGCGUGGGGAGCAAACAGGGAUUAGAUACCCUGGUAGUCCACGCCGUAAACGAUGAGUGCUAAGUGUUGGGGGGGUUUCCCGCCCCUCAGUGCUGCAGCUAACGCAUUAAGCACUCGCCUGGGGAGUACGUCGCAAGACUG